rnacentral:tRNA from 1 species
UGGAUCACCUCCUAACAGGGAGACAACACAAUGAUUUUGAUGCCUGAGUGCUUUUAUUCUUAGGUCGAAAUCCUGUCACCUUAGGUCGAUCGGUACCUCAGUUUUGAAGUCAAGGGUCAGCAACAAUGUUGAUGGCUUGAUGGAGAUUUUCAGUUCCUAAACUUUGUCUAGGUCACACCCCAAAAGGGAUGAGACUCCUGGGCCAUUAGCUCAGGUGGUUAGAGCGCACCCCUGAUAAGGGUGAGGUCCCUGGUUCAAGUCCAGGAUGGCCCAUUCGGUGUUGGGGGUUUAGCUCAGUUGGUAGAGCGCCUGCUUUGCAAGCAGGAUGUCAGGAGUUCGAGUCUCCUAACCUCCACUGACCGAACUUGAUUCCCAUCUCCAAUUUUUUGGAGUUGAGCUCGAUUGGAGUGUGAUUUAGAUGUGUCCGCUGGAUGACCCCAGCUUCCUGUCAUUCCAAGUUUUAGGUUAAAGCCUUGAAUUUGGUUGAUAAGAUGCUGGGCUCGGAUCAAAUGAUCAAGCAAUUGAUCAUUUGAUUUGAAGUUCUAGCAGAACCUUGACAACUGCAUAGGUGAGUCUGGAAAAAAACAAAGCAUCUUACAGAUGCAUUGUUUUGAAUCUGAUCUUCUGAAAGGGAGAUUGGAUCUAGAACAAUGAAAAUUCUUUUGAGCAAGAGCCGAGACUCUUGAGCGUUCUUUGAUUGGUGUCGAGCCAAUCAGAGUUUGAUCUUGUUUUUAGCAAUAAAAACUUGAGAAUCUGCUUUCAACGGCGGUAAGCGUUCAAGAGGUUAAUUGGUCAAGCUACAAAGGGCUCACGGUGGAUACCUUGGCACACAGAGGCGAUGAAGG